rnacentral:rRNA from 1 species
GAUGAACGCUAGCUACAGGCUUAACACAUGCAAGUCGAGGGGAAACGGGAAGAUAGCUUGCUAUUUUUGCCGUCGACCGGCGCACGGGUGAGUAACGCGUAUCCAACCUGCCACCUAGUGGAGGAUAGCCUUUCGAAAGAAAGGAUAAUACUCCAUGUACUCCUUUAAGGGCAUCUGCGAAGGAGGAAAGAUUAAUCGCUGGGUGAUGGGGAUGCGUCUGAUUAGGCAGUUGGCGGGGUAACGGCCCACCAAACCGACGAUCAGUAGGGGUUCUGAGAGGAAGGUCCCCCACAUUGGAACUGAGACACGGUCCAAACCCCUACGGGAGGCAGCAGUGAGGAAUAUUGGUCAAUGGACGGAAGUCUGAACCAGCCAAGUAGCGUGCAGGAUGACGGCCCUAUGGGUUGUAACCUGCUUUUAUGCGGGGGUAAAGUGAGUGACGUGUCAUUCAUUGCAAGUACCGCAAGAAUAAGGACCGGCUAAUUCCGUGCCAGCAGCCGCGGUAAUACGGAAGGUCCUGGUGUUAUCCGGAUUUAUUGGGUUUAAAGGGAGCGUAGGCCGUCAGGCAAGCGUGUUGUGAAAUGUCGUGGCUCAACCAUGGACUUGCAGCGCGAACUGCCCGACUUGAGUGCGCGGAAAGCAAGCGGAAUUGGGGGUGUAACGGUGAAAUGCUUAGAUAUCACGAAGAACCCCAAUUGCGAAGGCAGCCUGCUGUAACGCUACUGACCCCGAAACUCGAAAGUGCGGGGAUUCGAACAGGAUAAAAUACCCUGGUAAUCCGCACGGUAAACCAUGGAUGCCCGCUGUUCAGUUUAACGACCGAGCGGCUAAGUGAAAACGUUAAGCAUCCCACCUGGGGAGUACGCCGGCAACGGUGAAACUCAAAGGAAUUGACGGGGGCCCGCACAAGCGGAGGAACAUGUGGUUUAAUUCGAUGAUACGCGAGGAACCUUACCCGGGCUUGAAUUGCAGAGGAAAGAUCCAGAGAUGGUGAUGCCCUUCGGGGUCUCUGUGAAGGUGCUGCAUGGUUGUCGUCAGCUCGUGCCGUGAGGUGUCGGCUUAAGUGCCAUAACGAGCGCAACCCCUAUUUUCAGUUGCCAUCAGGUUAAGCUGGGCACUCUGGAGAGACUGCCGCCGCAAGGUGAGAGGAAGGCGGGGAUGACGUCAAAUCAGCACGGCCCUUACGUCCGGGGCUACACACGUGUUACAAUGGCCGGUACAACGAGAAGGCUGCCCGCAAGGUCAGUCAAAUCCUGAAAACCGGUCUCAGUUCGGACUGGAGUCUGCAACCCGACUCCACGAAGCUGGAUUCGCUAGUAAUCGCGCAUCAGCCAUGGCGCGGUGAAUACGUUCCCGGGCCUUGUACACACCGCCCGUCAAGCCAUGAAAGCCGGGGGUGCCUGAAGUCCGUGACCGCAAGGGUCGGCCUAGGGCAAAACCGGUAAUUGGGGCUAAGUCGUAACAAGGUAGCCGUACCGGAAGG